rnacentral:rRNA from 1 species
GACGAACGCUGGCGGCGUGCUUAACACAUGCAAGUCGAGCGGAAAGGCCCUUCGGGGUCCUCGAGCGGCGAACGGGUGAGUAACACGUGAGUAACCUGCCCCAGACUUUGGGAUAACCCUCGGAAACGGGGGCUAAUACCGGAUACGACACAGCUUCGCAUGGGGUCUGUGUGGAAAGUUUUUUGGUUUGGGAUGGGCUCGCGGCCUAUCAGCUUGUUGGUGGGGUGAUGGCCUACCAAGGCGACGACGGGUAGCCGGCCUGAGAGGGCGACCGGCCACACUGGGACUGAGACACGGCCCAGACUCCUACGGGAGGCAGCAGUGGGGAAUAUUGCACAAUGGGCGGAAGCCUGAUGCAGCGACGCCGCGUGAGGGAUGACGGCCUUCGGGUUGUAAACCUCUUUCAGCAGGGACGAAGCGUAAGUGACGGUACCUGCAGAAGAAGCGCCGGCCAACUACGUG